GAAGCUAUCGCGUUAUUUGUAUUGAGUGAUUUCUUAAGAAGCAGCUUCGAGACUGCGUCACACACUGAAAAGGACGAGGGUGGUGAGCUGGAUUUUCAUUUAUUGAAACGUUGGAAAGAGAGUUAAGAUGGACGUAAUAGAUGAGUUCAAUCCACAGGAAUGGGAGAUAGCUAAUGAAAAUGAGGUUGAAGGUUUCGAGGAUUACAACCUUUUCAGAAGAAAACUUAGCCGCGCUCCAUUAUCCAAUAACAAUUCUGGAGAAUAUUUCUAUUGCGUGCAGGACUCCACCGACAAAGUUCGUAGAGUAAUCCUCAGUGGGUGCAAAGGUGCGAGGGAUCCUUUAUCCGGUGUGGCAAACUGCCGGUUGAAACUCGACGAAAACAAAGGGAAAGUGAUCGGCAUUCAACUCGACCACCAAGUCAUUGUUAAGAAGGAAACAAGUUAACUUUUUGUGUGGUGUCUGUUUGUAGAAAUCCUGUACAUUUUUAGUCGAAAAUCUUUUAAAAAACAUGACGUUGGUGAAAAGGAAUGCAUGUUGCUAACAUAGUUUUGCAUAUUGGAAUAUAUAUCCCUAUAUA